AGAACUUCUGCAGCUCUGAGGAACCUCUUGGCUGGAAAUGAAAAGAAACUGAGCUUUACCUUCAAGUGUAUCCUUCUAGUCCACUCCAGGAUGCUGGGUCUCAAGCCAGUCCCCCUGCAGGGGGUGACUCCUGCUUCAGGCAACUGGAGAUUUCCUGGAGUAAGUCAGACCUCCAUGGCGGAGAGAGCUGACAAAAAUCAAGAAGAAAAAAGAUCUUGUUUUGUGAACAGAAGAGGGCUGUAGGAGAGCUCAUUUCAUCUUAAAAGCUCAUCAUACACCUACUGACAACUGGUCAUUGAGAAGCAGCUCGGGUACCAGGCCAACAGUGCCAGAGUGGGAAACAGAGGAGCUGGCUGACAAUUCUGGCUCUGCUCUGCGACCCUGAGCAAAUCCCUCCGCCUCCCUGAGCCCCAUUUUUCACAUUUCUGAAUAAAGAACACUGCCGGCAUGUCACAGGACUGUGUGGGAUUUCCGACUCCACCAGACUUGAAGCACUGGACAAAGGAAAGGCGUUCUUGCACGGCUCUCCCCUCUCUCCUGCCACCGGGCACAAAAGCACACUGUAGAAAACCUUGGGAUCUAUCUUCCCAGUAGACGGGACAGGUACUAUCUCAAGGCUCUUAGUAGAACAACAGAGAGAGACAAGAGGAAGGCACUUCCAUGCACACUGGAGGACAGGAGGGCACUCGGGAAGAAACCCAGGAGCCCAGAAGAAAACUCAUCCACAAGUCUGGGGUCACUCGGCUCCUCUGCGGAAGCCAGAGUCAGGA